GGUGAACGCUGGCGGCGUGCCUAAGACAUGCAAGUCGAGCGGGGCAGGGUUAUGCCUGUUCAGCGGCGGACGGGGGAGGAACGCGGGGGUGACCUACCCGGAAGAGGCGGACAACCUGGGGAAACCCAGGCUAAUCCGCCAUGUGGUCCUGUCCUGUGGGGCAGGACUAAAGGGUGGAGAGCCAGCUUCCGGAUGGGCCCGCGUCCGAUCAGCUAGUUGGUGGGGUAAAGGCCCACCAAGGCGACGACGGGUAGCCGGUCUGAGAGGAUGGCCGGCCACAGGGGCACUGAGCCACGGGCCGCACUCCUAGGGGAGGCAGCAGUUAGGAAGCUUCCGCCAUGGACGGAAGUCUGACGGAGAGACGCCGCUUGGAGGAGGAAGCAAUUCGGGGUGUAAACUCCUGAACUGGGGACGAAAGACCUGUGUAGGGGGAUGACGGUACCCAGGUAAUAGCGCCGGCCAACUCCGUG
rnacentral:rRNA from 1 species